CAGAUUGAACGCUGGCGGCAGGCCUAACACAUGCAAGUCGAGCGGUAACAGGAGAAAGCUUGCUUUCUUGCUGACGAGCGGCGGACGGGUGAGUAAUGUAUGGGGAUCUGCCCGAUAGAGGGGGAUAACUACUGGAAACGGUGGCUAAUACCGCAUAAUGUCUACGGACCAAAGCAGGGGCUCUUCGGACCUUGCACUAUCGGAUGAACCCAUAUGGGAUUAGCUAGUAGGUGGGGUAAAGGCUCACCUAGGCGACGAUCUCUAGCUGGUCUGAGAGGAUGAUCAGCCACACUGGGACUGAGACACGGCCCAGACUCCUACGGGAGGCAGCAGUGGGGAAUAUUGCACAAUGGGCGCAAGCCUGAUGCAGCCAUGCCGCGUGUAUGAAGAAGGCCUUAGGGUUGUAAAGUACUUUCAGCGGGGAGGAAGGUGAUAAGGUUAAUACCCUUGUCAAUUGACGUACCCGCAGAAGAAGCACCGGC
rnacentral:rRNA from 1 species